CUACGGGGUGCUGCAGCGAGGAAUUUUGGACGAUGGGCGCAAGCCUGAUCCAGCCAUUCCGCGUGAGUGAAGAAGGCCUUCGGGUUGUAAAGCUCUUUCGCAAGGGAAGAAAACUUAUCCUCUAACAUAGGGUGAGGUUGACGGUACCUUGAUAAGAAGCACCGGCUAACUACGUGCCAGCAGCCGCGGUAAUACGUAGGGUGCGAGCGUUAAUCGGAAUUACUGGACGUAAAGCGUGCGCAGGCUGUUUUGUAAGUCAGAUGUGAAAUCCCCGAGCUCAACUUGGGAACUGCGUUGAAACUACAAGACUCGAAUAUGUCAGAGGGGGGUAGAAUUCCAUGUGUAGCAGUGAAAUGCGUAGAGAUGUGGAGGAAUACCAAUGGCGAAGGCAGCCCCCUGGGAUAAUAUUGACGCUCAUGCACGAAAGCGUGGGGAGCAAACAGGAUUAGAUACCCCCGUAGUC
rnacentral:rRNA from 1 species